CUUUUGACAUUAACAUCAGUUUGGUGCUAAAAUUAUUUGUUUCAAAUCAAAGGUAUGUCAAAUGCCAUUGACAUGUAUACAUCAAUCGUGACAAUACCCAUGCUGAUGCAUACCAAAAGUUGUUUUUCCGUGUCCACAAGGCUUAAAAUAUCCCAAUACUAUUUUUAUGACAGCGCCAGAAGUUUCAUCUCACAAAGCCUAGGUUUAUUGGUGCCAAUUUUAUGAAGCUGAAAUUUCUA